CUCCCACAUAGGAUUCAUGAAGUUUAAAUAAAAAUUUCUCUUCCAGGUAUAAACAGCAAACAAAUCACUGUAUACAUGAAUCCAAACUGACAAUAUAAUAGCAAUUCGAAUAAUUGGUAAUGAUCAUUGCAAUAAAAAAAGAUCUAUAUCAUUCUAAAAAAAUAAAUAAAAACUCAAUCCACCAGAUAUACAUUAAAGAAAUGGAUUUCACAGCAAAAUUAACAUACCCAGAUCAGAAAACCGACUAAAAAUCCAUGCCCAUCACAACAACAACUAAAGAAACACAA
rnacentral:misc_RNA from 1 species